AAUGAACGUUGGCGGCAUGGAUUAGGCAUGCAAGUCGAGCGAGAAGUGUAGCAAUACACGGAAAGCGGCGGAAGGGAGAGUAAUACGUGGGAAUCUGCCCUUAGACCUGGGAUAGCAGCGGGAAACUGCUGGUAAUACCAGAUAAUGUCUAUGGACCAAAGGUGUGAUUCCGUCUAGGGAUGAGCCCACGUCCUAUUAGUUAGUUGGUAGGGUAAUGGCCUACCAAGGCGAUGAUGGGUAGCGGGUGUGAGAGCAUGACCCGCCUCACUGGGACUGAGACACUGCCCAGACACCUACGGGUGGCUGCAGUCGAGAAUCUUCGGCAAUGGGCGCAAGCCUGACCGAGCGAUGCCGCGUGCGGGAUGAAGGCCUUCGGGUUGUAAACCGCUGUCGAGGGGGAGCAACUUCCAUAGAGUUAUCUUUAUGGAUUGAGUGAUCCCUGGAGGAAGGACGGGCUAAGUUCGUGCCAGCAGCCGCGGUAAAAC
rnacentral:rRNA from 1 species